rnacentral:pre_miRNA from 1 species
AUACUACUCCCUCCGUCUUAAAAUUCUUGUCUUAGAUUUGUCUAGAUACAGAUGUAUCUAAUACUAAAAUGUAACUUGAUACAUCCGUAUUUAGAUAAAUUUAAGACAAGAAUUUUGGGACGAAGGGAGUACUAU